UGGCAAGGGCACGGCCCCCGGCUCUGCCCCUGCGGGCACGGGGCCGGCCUGUCACCGGGGGUCCGCGUCCCGAGCGGCUGUGCACUCACCGAGCCAGGCUGCGAGGGGCAGAGGGGCGCCCGCGGCUAGCUGGAGCGCUGAGGCGCCUCCCUUUUCUCUUGGUAGCGUCGGUCCGCACUCCCUGUGACCCAGGACGUCAUGAUGCCUGUCUGUUUUCUCAAUGAUAACUUGGCAGAAGAAGAGAGAGGCUGCCAGGUUCUCCUCGGGUGGUUACGUGUUUACAGGUAGUUUGAAUUGAAUCCUGAUGCUAGUUGAAAAGCAGAGAUCUACCAAUGAAGAGACUUGGGUGCUAGAACCUGAAGGGAACUUUUGGCAUGUUUCCUGAUUGGAACUAAUUUCAAUACCACUUUCACUGCCUGGGUGUAGAAGGGAAAGAUAAUUUUCCUUGGCAACCAGGUUCAACUGGAAAAAAUAAUCAAGAUGUCACCCGAUGCCACAAGCUACAGACUAUGUUUUCACCUCUGUGGAUUUGCCAGUUGCUGAAGCAGCAGAGGAAACUCGUGUCAUGGAAAGAACACUAAACUUAGAGUCAGAACCCUUGAGGUCAUUGCCCUACCAUCUCUGGGUCAUGAUUCCUACACUGUUUUGGAGAUCCCCAAUAGGCUGGCAUAAGUGGGCCCACUACAAGCUUCAAAAGUCACCUCUUCUCUGAACUCCUCCACAGUGAUGCUUCCCUGCUUCUCCACUGUUUUUCCAGAAAGCUGAGGAAAGAAAAACGAAGAAGAUGGGAAAAAAUACUGUAAACCUAUAGGAGAAUUCACUGACUGUGGAGAGGACACAGAAGGCACUCCAAAUGUCCCAUUUUCAAAUUCCUAAAGAAUUUUCUUUAGUCUUCUAGGAUUAUAUAUUUUACCUUUCAAAUGAAAAAUAUAAUUUUUAAGUAUCAGGGUUUGGGGGAGGUUUAAAUGAGAUAAUGCAUAUAAUGGCGCCAUGUUUUGUCAAAGUAGGUAGCUGAUAAACAAUUCUCCUCCCUUCUUCCUCUUCUUCCUUCUUAGAGAACAAGAGACUCAAGUUCAUCAGUCUGUAACCAUAAUCAACUUGUGAGCUUUUCUCUUGGCCACUGCUAUAGUUUGGACAUUAAAUAUUCCCACAAGGUCCAUGUGUUGAAGGCUUGGUCCUUAGUCUGUGGUGCUGGGAAAAUGGUAGCACCUUUAAAAGGUAAGGUCCAGUGGAAGGAAGUUAGGUCACUGGGGACAUGCCCUUGAAGAAGGUAUUGGUACGUGACACUUUCCCUUGCUCUCUCUUUUGUUAAUUGGCUGUCACGAAGUGAGCAGUUUAUUGCAUCUCACAUUCCUUCCAUGAUGUGCUGCCUGCCACAGGCCCCAAAAUGACAGUCCAACCAACCAUGAACUGAGACCUCCCAAACUGUGAAUGAAAAUAAAGCUUUCCUCUUUUUAAGUUGAUUAUCUCAGGGGUUUUGUUACAGUAACAAUUUAACAUAGCCAGACUUCUAAAAAUGAGGAACACAAGGACUAACUUAUGUCAGUAGUUGCCACACUUGGCCACACAUAAAAUCACUUACGGAGAUUUUUAAAUUCCUGAUGCUUGAAUCACACCCCAUAGCAAUUAGGUCAGAAAAGUCCGAGGUUCGGAAUCAAGCCAUAGUACUUUUGAAAAAUUCCCACAUGAUUUCAGUGUACAGCAAAGUUUGAGCAAUGCGGAGAAAUGGCCUGUGGCUGGCUAAUUUAGCAAUUGGAGCCUAAUGGUAACAGGACCCAAGUUUAGACUCGGAUCCAGAACAGGAUAGUUCUUAGCUCUUGCACAAACCCAGAAUGUUAAUUCAAUCCCUUUUCCUUUUCAAUGAUCCUCUGGCAAAGCUCUUUGUAAAUGAACAGUAGACAGAAGAACAGUGAAUCGACUCAUCCCAAGUACCCAAACAGCAAAUAAAAAAAAGCACACAAAACACCCAUGUCUGUAGUACUUUUUAGUUUACCAAGAGCUAUUAAGUGUUAUUUAAUCUUCACAAUAACAUUGCAUAGUUGGCAUUAUUAUUGUUUAUAGAUUUUAAAAAAUAUAUCAAAAACUACAAGGAAGUUCACCUUGCUCUGGGACAAAGUGGCAGAUUCAAGGGUUUUACUGAGGCCCAGGACUCUGGAAUCAAUGCUCUUUACCUGAACCAUCCUGUCUGGUAAACCCCACUAAUCACCACUCAGCAAGAUCACAUCCACAGCUGAGGGUGGAUUCAGAGCUAUGGUCUAGUUUCUUUAACAUACCUGGAAGGAAGGGAGGAAAGAGAGGGAAGGAAAUAUUGUUAAAGGUAUCUGAAUUAAACAGAUUUA